GGGACAUUACUCUUAUGUUACGAUGAAAAAAUGCUGAAAAUACUGAAAAUGAGAAAAAUUCUAUUGAAAAACAGAAUGAAAUGGUUUCAAGUAAAGGCAGUGACGUAGAUAUCGACCACGUUCUUUUAAAACAAAGAUUUUCUCGUAAUGAGCUGGUACUGCGGUUUUUAUCGUUAUUGUGUCUGUGUUUUAUGUUUGGCCUGUUUCUAAUACAGCUGGAUAUUAUGUGGAGAUCCCGAGAGUCAUUAAUAAUGGAGAUGUUGCUAAGAGACACUCAGCAGUAUAUUUCCGGUACCCAGAUUUUUAUGACAUUGCUCAUAAUGAGGACACUUGGUGCUGGGACCCAGAUACUUUACUACUUAAAGUGAAUACAUCGUUCUUCGUUCACUGAUACAUGCCGGGUACCUGUACCCAUUGAUUUAGUCAUAUGUUAACAAAGCUAGUUGUGUUUGGUUCUGUCAUCAGUAUUCAUGUAUGGUUCUAGAGUGUCCAUACGCUAGUUUAUAUUCCAUGAAGGAUUUAAUAUAUGCACCGCACAGAGGAAGCAUAUCAGGUGUUUUUGGUGGUCAAGAAAAUCUGGAAAAAGGAUCACUUUUAUACCUCAACAGUGCAAAUGUGACAAAAGGAAUCGAGACAAAAGAAAGUAAAUGUUCAGACAUGGGAAGAUUUACCUCCCUUGGACUGAUGUGGAGGAGUCUAUGCAGGAUAUUUACCACUUUUUUCUUUAGUCCUUAAUUAAAUUUUACAGGUCUCCAUUGAAACUAGGAAAGUUUAGAUUUACCUGAGAGGAACGGAUACUAGUAUUAGAAAUAUAAUUUAGAGUUAGUUAAAGAUAGUUGUAUAAUAGCUAUAUAGAAAAUUAAGUUAAUUACAAAGUAUGAAUUACUUUUACUAAGUUGCGUUAAUUCUUGAAAGUCUGGUAAAUUAUUUAAAUUAUCGUUAAAAAGUUGAAGAAGAAGAUUGAGUUAGUUAUUGAAAGUUGAGUUAAUUUAAGAAAGUUGAGUUAAUUUUAGAUACAAAGAUGGAUUUGUGACCAAACAAUUUAUUUGUUCAAAAAAACAAGAUUAUUACAAUCAUGCACUUUAAUCUUUUCAAUCAAAAUAUUCGAUAUCAUAACAAAAGUUUUGUAAGAUUUGUGGUCACGCUACUUUUGAUUUAUCUUUGAUUUGCAGGCUCUACUUUUCUUAGUCAUUUAUAUUGGAAAAUGCCACAAACAUUCCAACUACAUGUAUUCUUGCUCUUGAAAACAAGUUUUUGCCAUUAAUUUCUUUGAUAACAAGUUGUCAAGAAGACAUUGCAUUAACGAAAAGGUUAUUUCAAAUAGUCUGAAUUUCUAUAAUGUUUUAUUUAAAGGUUUCUGAAGUUCAUGUACCUGCAGUGUAAAUGAUUUCAUGUUAAAAGUUUAGAUGUUCUUAAUAUAUAGAGAUUUGAUGCCGGCAUCAAAUAUAUGAAGGCAACCUGUAUAAUACAUGUAUAAUUAUGUUUGUUUGUGGACGUAUUUUUGCUAGUCAUUGGGUCAGUGUGUCUACAUUAUCAAUAACAUAUUUGUAGAUGUUGUGAUUUAUUACAAAUAACUGUCAAUUAAGGAUAAAAGACCCUAAUAAACAUGUUAUUAUACUGAUAUUUUUUCAAUUAAUGAUGUAUCAGUCGUAAACAUGGUCUCUCAUGACAAAAAUGUACGAAAGAUAAGUAUUUAAAGAAUAAAACUGUUAAGAGAAGGCAGAAGUAGUUUCAUUAGGAUGUUACAUAAGAAUAGUCCUUAAACACAAAGUC